AUGUAGCAAUACAUUGGUGGCGACCGGCGCACGGGUGAGUAACGCGUAUGCAACCUACCUAUCAGAGGGGAAUAACCCGGCGAAAGUCGGACUAAUACCGCAUAAAACAGGGGUUCCACAUGGAAAUAUUUGUUAAAGAAUUAUCGCUGAUAGAUGGGCAUGCGUUCCAUUAGAUAGUUGGUGAGGUAACGGCUCACCAAGUCCACGAUGGAUAGGGGUUCUGAGAGGAAGGUCCCCCACACUGGUACUGAGACACGGACCAGACUCCUACGGGAGGCAGCAGUGAGGAAUAUUGGUCAAUGGGCGAGAGCCUGAACCAGCCAAGUCGCGUGAAGGAUGAAGGAUCUAUGGUUUGUAAACUUCUUUUAUAUGGGAAUAAAGUGAGGAACGUGUUCCUUUUUGUAUGUACCACAUGAAUAAGCAUCGGCUAACUCCGUGCCAGCAGCCGCGGUAAUACGGAGGAUGCGAGCGUUAUCCGGAUUUAUUGGGUUUAAAGGGUGCGUAGGUGGUUAAUUAAGUCAGCGGUGAAAGUUUGUGGCUCAACCAUAAAAUUGCCGUUGAAACUGGUUGACUUGAGUAUAUUUGAGGUAGGCGGAAUGCGUGGUGUAGCGGUGAAAUGCAUAGAUAUCACGCAGAACUCCGAUUGCGAAGGCAGCUUACUAAACUAUAACUGACACUGAAGCACGAAAGCGUGGGGAUCAAACAGG
rnacentral:rRNA from 1 species